rnacentral:lncRNA from 1 species
GAACCACCUGCCAGACACCAGGGAACCAACUGUCAGAUAUGCCGGAACCACCUCGUGGACACAUCUGCUGGAUACUCCAGAAACAGGAAAACCACAGGACGGAACCAGGUGCCAGACAAGCGUGAAGCCCCUUCCAGACUAGCCUGAACCACUUGCUGGACCAGCCUGAAUCACUUUAUGGACAUUCCAGAACCACAUGCCCAGCACGCUAAAACCGAGUGACUGACACGCCAGAAUCCCCUGCUGAGCACACCUGAACCGGUCACUGUGAAACCACCUGCCGGAUACACCAGAACCAGGUGCCGGACAUGCCAGAACCACCUGCCAGAUACACCAGACACAGGUGUUGCACAUGCUGAAACCAGGUGCCGGACACGACUGAACCAGCUGCUGGAUAUGCCAGAAACAGGUGUUGCACAUACCA